CCUACGGGUGGCAGCAGUGGGGAAUAUUGGACAAUGGGCGAAAGCCUGAUCCAGCCAUGCCGCGUGUGUGAAGAAGGCCUUCGGGUUGUAAAGCACUUUCAGUGGGGAAGAAAGCCUUGGGGCUAAUACCCUCGAGGAAGGACAUCACCCACAGAAGCACCGGCUAACUCCGUGCCAGCAGCCGCGGUAAUACGGAGGGUGCGAGCGUUAAUCGGAAUUACUGGGCGUAAAGCGCGCGUAGGCGGUCUGAUAAGCCGGUUGUGAAAGCCCCGGGCUCAACCUGGGAACGGCAUCCGGAACUGUCAGGCUAGAGUGCAGGAGAGGAAGGUAGAAUUCCCGGUGUAGCGGUGAAAUGCGUAGAGAUCGGGAGGAAUACCAGUGGCGAAGGCGGCCUUCUGGACUGACACUGACGCUGAGGUGCGAAAGCGUGGGUAGCAAACAGGAUUAGAUACCCGGGUAGUC
rnacentral:rRNA from 1 species